AUAGCAGGUUGCAAUUACAGUGCUUCAUUUUGUGGAAGUAUUGACAUUAUCCUGCUGAAAGAAAAGUUGUGUUGAUCAUUUCUGAUUUUGCCCAUGUGGCUAAAAUCAUAACAGGUUGACAUGGACAAUU
rnacentral:snoRNA from 1 species